UUUAUAAGGUUAAAGGUUAAAGUGUUUUAUAAACACUUUAACCUCAGUUUCUUCCCUUACAUUUAUACUUUUAUUACUUUAUACCGUAUGGACGCAUUUUAAUCCCGGAAUAGAUACGAUAAGGUCUCCAGUCUACUAUGGAUGAGGAGAGAGAAGAGGGGGGUCCUACCUCUAAGACCACUCUGUCUGGGGAACAUGGCCGCCGGAGCAAAGCUAAGAGCCCAGAGAAGCAGGAGAGAGCAGACCCCCCUGGACCCAGCUGUGUCUCCAUGAAGAGUAGCUGGUCUAUGGAUCCACCUAUUAGUUUUAAAGAUGGAAAUCAGUCUAUCAAGAAGAGCCCAGAGCAGCAGCAGAGAGCAGACUCCCCUGGACCCAGCUGUGUCUCCAUGAAGAGUGACCACUCUAUGGAUAUACCAUUGGUGUUUAAAGAUGGACGUCCCUCCAGAGAGGAGAG
ensembl:lncRNA